rnacentral:rRNA from 1 species
GAUGAACGCUGGCGGCGUGCCUAAUACAUGCAAGUCGAGCGAACAGAUGAGGAGCUUGCUCCUCUGACGUUAGCGGCGGACGGGUGAGUAACACGUGGAUAACCUACCUAUAAGACUGGGAUAACUUCGGGAAACCGGAGCUAAUACCGGAUAAUAUAUUGAACCGCAUGGUUCAAUAGUGAAAGACGGUUUUGCUGUCACUUAUAGAUGGAUCCGCGCCGCAUUAGCUAGUUGGUAAGGUAACGGCUUACCAAGGCAACGAUGCGUAGCCGACCUGAGAGGGUGAUCGGCCACACUGGAACGGAGACACGGUCCAGACUCCUACGGGAGGCAGCAGUAGGGAAUCUUCCGCAAUGGGCGAAAGCCUGACGGAGCAACGCCGCGUGAGUGAUGAAGGUCUUCGGAUCGUAAAACUCUGUUAUGAGGGAAGAACAAAUGUGUAAGUAACUAUGCACGUCUUGACGGUACCUAAUCAGAAAGCCACGGCUAACUACGUG